GGAACGAACGCUGGCGGCAGGCUUAACACAUGCAAGUCGAACGCGUGUAGCAAUACACGAGUGGCGCACGGGUGAGUAACGCGUGGAUAUCUGCCUUUUGGUUCGGAAUAACCCCGGGAAACUGGGGCUAAUACCGGAUGGUUCCUUCGGGAUAAAGAUUUAUCGCCAAAAGAUGAGUCCGCGUACGAUUAGCUAGUUGGUGAGGUAAUGGCUCACCAAGGCGACGAUCGUUAGCUGGUCUGAGAGGACGAUCAGCCACACUGGGACUGAGACACGGCCCAGACUCCUACGGGAGGCAGCAGUGGGGAAUAUUGGACAAUGGGGGCAACCCUGAUCCAGCCAUGCCGCGUGAGUGAUGAAGGCCUUCGGGUUGUAAAGCUCUUUUCUGAGGGACGAUGAUGACGGUACCUCAGGAAUAAGCCACGGCUAACUACGUGCCAGCAGCCGC
rnacentral:rRNA from 1 species